UACGUAGGUGGCAAGCGUUAUCCGGAAUUAUUGGGCGUAAAGAGCGCGCAGGUGGUAAAUUAAGUCUGAUGUGAAAGCCCACGGCUUAACCGUGGAGGGUCAUUGGAAACUGGUUGACUUGAGUGUAGAAGAGGGAAGUGGAAUUCCAUGUGUAGCGGUGAAAUGCGUAGAGAUAUGGAGGAACACCAGUGGCGAAGGCGGCUUCCUGGUCUGCAACUGACACUGAGGCGCGAAAGCGUGGGGAGCAAACAGG
rnacentral:rRNA from 1 species